GGGAAACCGUAUCCGAGGACUACACUCCCGUAACCGUAGCUCAGUUCAGAUCGUAGGCUGCAACUCGCCUACGUGAAGGAGGAAUCGCUAGUAAUCGCAGGUCAGCAUACUGCGGUGAAUACGUUCCCGGGCCUUGUACACACCGCCCGUCACACCAUGGAAGUUGGCCAUGCCCGAAGCCGUUACUCCAACCCUUGUGGAGGAGGACGUCGAAGGUGGGGCUGAUGACUGGGGUGAAGUCGUAACAAGGUAUCCGUACCGGAAGGUGCGGAUGGAUCACCUCCUA
rnacentral:rRNA from 1 species